CUCCCGUGUCCACCGCAAAGCCACCACCCACAACGUGUCCCCCGCCUGCAACUGGGUCCCGAGCCCGCAGUGAUUCACCUCCAGCCUGGCCGGCUGAGCAGCAGGAUUUAGGCUCCAGUCCUACAGAGGGACCCGAAGAAGAGCUCUGUUGUAUAGCUGGGACGCUUGACUCACCAACAGAGUGCAGAUCAGAUCAGCUGUUGAGAUCAGCAAUGCUGCAAGUUUCAUUGUGUGUUGCAUAGUGAUAAAGGCUUUAGCAGAUCCGAGGAUGGAUUAAGGCUAAAUCCUGACAUUUGGUGAAUACAUGUGCCAGCUGGUGAAGUGCUUUUCCACUCAAGCAUUCCUCGCCUGUUUUUCAGUGGCCUUCUCAAAGCUCGUAGUGAGGAAGAUAGAUAAGCCAAAGAUGAUCCACAGGAAAUGGCUAUACUUUCAGAGUUGCCAGGCUGCUCAUAGAUGUCUCAAAACUCCACUAGUGGCAAGUUGGCAAUUGAUUCUUUUCUUUUUUACUGCUAUAGAGCUAACAAAAUUCAGGCUUUUUCCAGGUUUACUUUUGCUCUGGACCCAACAUUUACUCAGUCAUUCAACUAGAGGAAUUUAUGGGUUUACUUGUUACUGCUUCUGGCCUUUCUGGUACUGUCAGCUUAAAUCAAAAAAUAAUAUUUUUAAAAAUCUGUAAUAUAAAACAAAAUUCACUGUCAUAUGCACAGUCACACAGCUACUAUUUUGUAUUGUGACAUAUGGUGUGUUAUUUAAGGAACACAAAAUAACAUUUUUUUUUUUAGAACAGACACCAAACAUAGGUCCAUAAUUCCAGAGAAAACAAAGGAAAAACAAGUACUAAAAACAGCUCUGUUCAUGCAGCAGCUACAUGCUGUCCUGGUUUACCAAAAUUACUUGGGAAAACUUCUGUCCACACAACAAUCUUAUCUGAGGUACCAUCACAAUAUUAGAAUUUUUAAAAGACAAAUUUAAAAUGUUACUUUCAGAAGGCUAACAUCUUAGCAAGAAAAAUAUACCUACUUAGGUUGCUUCUAUUACAAAUAGUGAUAGAAAUGUAGCCGUGUUAGUCCUGUAUUUUGUUUCUUCUAUUACAAAGGAACCUAAAUGCUUACAUCCAGUUAACAGACUGGCUUUAUGGAUAAAGUGCUCUCUCUUUCUCUUAUCAUUUGCAAAUAAAUGGUAAAACCAUUUUUAUAAGUGCCAUUAUGCUUCACGCUUGUGGGGGGAAAUUAAUGAUCUGUAAAGCUGUAGAUAAUUACGACAAACAUUUCAGCCUUAGUAAACUCAGUCUAAAUUAGUGUCUCGAAAAUGUUCAUGUAGUUUAAAAUGAAAAAAAAUGCUGGUAGGUCAUGAUCACAACAUAAUAAAUAACCCAGAACAGCACACUCCAGCUAAGGGUUAUUAUGUUUCCACUAUUUUAGCAAUACUUUUUCAGUACACUUUCACAUUUGUCACACUGCAUGAUGUAUUAAUAUGAUUUGGUAGGGAAUUAUUUAAAGAUUAUUCACACCACUUCUAUCUCACUUUGGGGCUUUAGACAUAUGUAAUAUCUUAAAUAUUCCAAUUCUUUCAUCAUUUUGUCCUCUAACUCUGCUCUACAAAAGUAGAAAGUCUGCAAGGUAUGAAACGUCACUGGGUGAGAGAGAUUGUUUCAAGGAUUUUGGUAUCAUUUAUGUGGUAGAAUUUUGAGGUCAAAUUUUGGUAUUCAUCUCACUUGCUAUUCUUCCUGGUUAGAGAAAAGGGCUGGGGGAGUUUUGUUGAAAAUGCCUGUCAGAAAACCAGUUAACAAACACAGCAACAGUUAUGCAGUCUUGGUAGGCUUGGAACACUAUUACCUGCUUGCUUAAUUUUUUACAUUCAGAUUACUCCUUUGUAGACCCAGUUGGGAGAAGGCGCGUGACAAACCUACCUUUUAUUUAAGAGAGGAAAGUCAAAAAUCAAUGCUGUCAAUAGCAGAGGUACAUAGAAGGGGGUAGCUAUAUGGGUUCACAGAGCAGACCCUCCUAAGGAGAGUGGGUCUUGAAUCCUCUGUAAUAGAACUAUGGACUUCAUUUUCAUUUCCCUAAGACCCCUCAAGCAAUAGUUCCUCUCCUGGCAGUACCAAAAGCACAUAAUUCUUCUUUGAGUGCUCCCCAUGGGUGCUCCACUCAAGGUGUCGGGUCCCAACCUGGCACCGCUAGUCGGAGAUUUCCAGAGCCAUAGCCAGGCCGGACCGCGCAUGCGCGAGAGCAGCACGUGGCGUUCGUGCCUUUGCAACGUCUCGCGGUCCCGCCCCCCCUCGCCAGUUCCUCUCAAACGCCUAUGGUUGCUGGCGGAGCGCCGUUUAUCUCCUCAGAGAAAGCGUUCUGUUAAAAAAAACCACACAAAUAGUUUAAUUCUAGUACUUAUAGGUAGUUAGUUAGUAGUUAGUUGUUAGUUCUUUCCUCAGAAAAGCAAAAAAAAAAAAUUUUUUUCUACUCACUGUUUCUUAGUUUUAUUAGAUUAGUCACUGUAAAUAGUUACGCUGAUCAAGCAUAAUGCCUGGGUCACCUGGGUUUAAACGGUGUACUCAGUGUAAGGACACGAUGCCCGCAUCUGAUGGGCAUGCAACAUGCAUCAGAUGUCUAGGGGAAUAGCAUGUCCCACGGAAAUGCUCCCAUUGUGCGAAAUUGACUCCGAGAGCAUGCAGGGAGAGAGACAUGUGGUUAAAACUCCUGCUGUGCGAUAAAGCUUUACAGCCUUCUGAUGACCAUGGCUCAGAACCUCCUGCAGGGCAGAAAAGGAGAGCGCAAUUGGUGACAAAAAGGAAGAGAGCCUCUCCUACGCGCUCUCUUCUAGCCAGUUCACUGUCCCGGAUUAGUCAUUGGGACAAGCCGGAGU